CCUACGGGUGGCUGCAGUAAGGAAUAUUGGUCAAUGGAGGAAACUCUGAACCAGCCAUCCCGCGUGAAGGAUGAAGGGGCUCUGCCUUGUAAACUUCUUUUGUCUGGGGCGAAAAAGCUCGAUUUAUCGAGAACUGACGGUACCAGAAGAAUAAGCACCGGCUAACUCCGUGCCAGCAGCCGCGGAAAUACGGAGGGUGCAGGAGUUAUCCGGAGUCCAGGGGUUGAAGGCGUGUUAGGGCGGCUGAGUAGAAAGGCUGUGGCUUAACCAUGGAAUUGCCAUUGAUACUGCAGAGCUUGAAUGAGGUUGAGGUUGGCGGAAUGUGACAUGUAGCGGUGAAAUGCUUAGAUAUGUCAUGGAACACCGAUUGCGAAGGCAGCUGACUGGACCUAUAUUGACGCUGAGGCACGAAAGCGUGGGGAGCGAACAGGAUUAGAUACCCCAGUAGUC
rnacentral:rRNA from 1 species